GAAAGUGCAUGCAAACACAUAUUAGAUAACUGUAUGAAAUGACAUGCUCUUCUUCUUGCAGUCCUUAUGGGGUUGUGUGCAGGAGUUAAAUCUAUGUAAUUUGCUUAGGGCUUUGAAGGCCAGCCUUGGCUGUGCGACUCACAGCCAAUAUCACUGCAGGUCACCUAUUAAUGCACCUAAUCGGAGGCGCAACUCUAACAA